rnacentral:rRNA from 1 species
CAGUCGCCGCGGGAAAACGAAGGGUGCAAGCGUUAAUCGGAAUUACUGGGCGUAAAGCGCGCGUAGGUGGUUCAUUAAGUUGGAUGUGAAAUCCCUGAGCUUAACUUGGGAAUUGCAUUCGAUACUGGUUAGCUAGAGUGUGGGAGAGGAUGGUAGAAUUCCAGGUGUAGCGGUGAAAUGCGUAGAGAUCUGGAGGAAUACCGAUGGCGAAGGCAGCCAUCUGGCCUAACACUGACGCUGAGGUACGAAAGCAUGGGGAGCAAACAGGAUUAGAUACCCCGUAGUCCCUGUCUCUUAUACA